AUUAAUACAGGACACUUUUGAGGCCCUCUAAUUGGAAUGAGUACACUUUAAAUCCUUUAACGAGGAUCAAUUGGAGGGCAAGUCUGGUGCAGAGCAACUGACCCGUGCGUUUGCAGCUGAAA
rnacentral:rRNA from 1 species